ACUCAGGGGUCACUCGGGGGUCAGUGGUCACUCAGGGGUCACUCAGGGGUCACUCAGGGGUCACUCAGGGGUCACUCAGGGGUCACUCAGGGGUCACUCAGGGUCACUCAGGGGUCACUCAGGGGUCACUCAUGGUCACUCAGGGGUCACUCAGGGGUCACCCAGGGGUCACUCAGGGGUCACUCAGGGGUCACCCAGGGGU